GGAUCAAUUAAUUGGUCGUGCCUCUGGUACGUACUGGUAUUGUUGGUUUCUCCCUUCUGACGAACCAUGAUGUCAUUAACUUGGUGUCAUGGGAAAUCAGGACUGUUACUUUGAAAAAAUUAGAGUGUUUAAAGCAGGCUCACGCUUGAAUACAUUAGCAUGGAAUAAUGAAAUAGGACGUUCGAUCCUAUUUUGUUGGUUUUUAGGAUCAACGUA
rnacentral:rRNA from 1 species